UCCACCUUCCUUCAAAAAAGGACUCUUCUUCAAUCCGUCCUCCGGUCUCGAGGAAUCCUCUUCGGCAAUGGCAACUCCUCCGCCCUCCUCCUAUAAGAACCUCCUCCUCGCGCGAGCCACCUGAUUUGCUGAGAUCGUGGUAACACGCAAGUGCGGCGCGGAGCUCGCUCAAGGUCGAUGCGCCCCGUGGUGGUGGCGUUCGAGGCGGGUCGGCCCGAGCUGGGUCAAUCCAACCGCCGUCGCCAGCCAUGUGUUCUUGAUCCCGUGGACGACCUCACCGACAACAAGCAGGAUAGCUACGAUGAAUUGUGGACGGGCCCAGCAGCGUCCUAUGUGCGGGCGCCGGCGACGUUCUUCGCCUUGUGGACGUGCUCCACGUCGAUCCCGGCGAGGACGUCUACAUCUCCGUCCCCAGGGCUUCUAUCGACACCACGAGGUCACCGACAUCACCGCUGGAUGCGCCACAUCUUGCCCUCCCCUACUGCUAGCCAAUGGGCUGCUGCUCUCCUAGACGAGCUACGGUAGCCGUCCACAGGGUGUUUGACGGAAUUCCCAUCAAGGAUGGCAUCACUUGGGCGACCAUAGACUUCGAUGGAGGUUUCCACGACGAAGCAGUAAGUCUUUUGACCUGCAUGUGUCACGAAUGACAGGGACUCAUUGGUGCUAUGCUCGUCCAUGCCAUUGUGGCUGUGUUUGGCUGAGCAAACCAAGGAACUUCAGUGAGCUGUUGCAGCGCAUAAAGAGAGCCUGCAAUGAUGUAGGUAGUUCGGCCUGCUACGCCGGACGCGAGGUUGCCAUCAAGAUGUCAGCAAGCCAUUUAAAGCUGGAAAGGAGUGAUAUGAUUCAUGCCUCUUCACACUGUAUACAAUCUGAUGAAGAGGGAAUCAAGGUUCUCUUCUUCUGUCCUGUGAAUAUUUUGUUUUCUAUUUGUAGAAAAACAAAGCAGCAAGCCUCCUCGCAGCUUCCAUUAAAAACCCAUGUGCCAGAAAGUUCUUAGCAUGAAACCAAGUACUACCACAUUUCUGAACUGUGUAUUUUAGUGAAAUCUCUUGGAGUUUAUGGAUCUGGUGGAACAAAUAUUGUUUAGACAUGAUUGUUUUUCUCCAUAGUUACUUUCUAAAUCAUUAUUAUUAUUCUCCUAAUAGUAUACUCUCCAUUUCAUAAAAGUGCAAUUUGAUUUGAGAAUCCGGGGAUGGACGAGACAGGUUUGUACCAAACAAUUUCCUCGGAAAUUUCUUACAAUCCCCUACAAAAUAGACAGUAUGACUAUUAGGAGAACUGUUUGCAAGGGGAUGGACGAGACAGGUUUGUACCAAACAACUUCCUUGGAAAUUUCUUACAAUCCCCUACAAAAUGGACAGUAUGACUAUUAGGAGAACUGUUUGCAAGGGGAUGGACGAGACAUGUUUGUACCAAGCAAUUUCCUUGGGAGUUCUUACAAUCCCCUACAGAACCAUCCUUUUCUUUGUAGGGAAGCAAAUAUUUUGGGUUGUAUCAUACUAACGUGAGACGGAAUGGAUCAGUAUGAGGUGUUGGAUCAGACUUGGAAGGGCUCUUUGGCUCUACACUCCAGGUGAGGUAUGUCUCCAAGGUUGCAAGGGAUAUGACAUUGCCUUUGUUGUGCUCGGGAAUAAGUGGUCAUGAAAAAUACAGGUUUGUUCUUGUUCACUUGGUUGGCCACCACUUUUUAGUUAUAUGAGUUGUUUUUACUGCUUGCAUGUGACAGUCAGAAUAUCAGGUAGGACUCUAUUUUUUCUUCUAUAUUCGGUUGGACAGCCUGGAGUUUCAGCAUGGAUUCUGUUCCAUUGUAUUUUGAAAUAGCCAAAGGUCUCUAAUAACACUAAGUAGCAACAGCAAGUUGGUCUUCAUACCAGUUGGCUUUAUGAGUACGUGAUGUCAUUUCAGAUCAUAGACCAACCACUCCUCCCCCUUUUGUGCAUAUGUAUAGAGAUAUAUACCUUUGGUUAUCUAUCACGUCUUUUGUAAUAUGUGUAUUUGUUGAUCCACUGAUUUUACCAAAAAAAUCUUACGAGAAAAAUACUAAGAGCCAACUUACUUCAUCAAGAAUCAACAUUGCAUCUCUGAUAUUCUGUGGGUUUGUAAUAGCAUGUCUAGCGUGCCAGCAACUUUGAAAAACAUGAUGCACCAUGCUGCAAGAAUCAGAAUAUCAAUGCGUACAUGCCUUUUCAGUCCAUAUUUAGAAGUGAUACAAAAUUGCAUUCCUUUUGUUUCUGUUCAGAAGUAAAAAUCAACUCAGAAAUAGAAAUGGACCUGAUAUAUGAUUUUCUUCUGCCUGUAGUCUACACUAAAGAAUGUCCAUCCUUGCCUUCCAUCACCUGUCCUACCGGAACAAAGCCAUUUUUUCUGUAUCUAAUUGGUUCAUAGACCCAGUUUGUUUAUAUCCAGAGUUCAUAGAUGGAUUAGUAAACAUAUAACCUUUUUUUAGAAACAUAGAACCUUUUGGUGUCAAAUGGUUAUGCAGGUCCGAGCAUGCUCAAAGUAGGCUAGGAAGGUGACCAACAAUUAUAUUGUGCACUUCAUCACCUAUGUAAAAUGGUUCUUCAUGGUGGACCAUAUUUUCUGUGCAUAUUUAGCUAAGUAUUCAGUUAAAUACAAACAUGUGACUUGCACCAAAAACAAAUGUACAAUAUUUUUUUAUCUAGAAGCAGUACAACUCUUGAUUAUUUAAGAUGGUCAGACAUCCUUUUUAGGUUCAGAUGUAUACUUUCUAUUCUUGCACUUGGCUGACCAUGCUUGAAUAUUAUUUAACGAUGGAACAUAUUUUGGUGCUAUUUUUUCUCCAAGUUAACGAUGGAAGAAAUUUGUACGAAUAUUUAUCUGCUCUUUGACGUUCUUGUGAAUUUUCUGAAGCUCCGCAACUCUGCAACCAAAAAAGCUCUCUGAACUUGCCGCUGAUUCAUCUAACUGCUCCUGCUGCUCUUGGCUGCCUUCGAAUGAAGGUACUGCUUCGGUGCUAGAUUGGAUGGAUAAGCAAGAAAGCAAACUGAAUGGGAAAAGAUUGGGAGCAUAUGCAUUGGUUUGGAAACUAAAAAAAGGAGAAGAUAAGAGUAUGUGGUGGACAAAGGUCACCCGUUUAUCAACAACUAGGUGCCGGCUUCGUUUUUUAAAGCAAGACUUCCAAAAUAUUAUUUUGUGAAUGUAUAAAUUUGUAUCUAAUAAAAUUGAGCAGGUUGACUUUUACACUGAUUGUGUAAUAUUGACAUAUUCUUAUCAGUUUUUUUCAAGCUUUUCUAUUGUUACUA